GGCGUAGUGUGUUACCAAUUGUUUUCUUGGUGACUAUAUGAAGCGAUUAUUGACCCAGGCGAACAGUAACUGAGGCAUGCUCAGAAACACAUCAGUAUUUAUUAAUUAAGAAACGCUGAGGCGGAAGCGUCAGCCCUUGUCGUGUGAAGACCGAGCUCGUGUAAAGACCUGCGAAUCUACCUGUGCGAGUCCACCGAGCAAGGACACCGACAAGACACCACACAUGCUGCUAAGUAUACUUUUUCUCCCUUUAUUCCUCUUACUUUUACCUGUUUCCACACACUAACGUGUCAUCCGUUCAUCCCUGUUAUUUGCCACAGGCGCAGACCGUGGCAUUCUCCCAGAAACGUACGCAACUUGGACAACCUACGCUCUCUGAAUGCGGCCUCUGCAGGUUCCAUCUCAUUCUCAGUCAGACAUUGGAACUGCCAAUCUGCUGUCAACAAGGCAGAUUUCAUUUCUGCAUUUGCAAUCCACUCCAAUCUCAGCGUGCUGGCUCUGACUGAGACCUGGAUCCAUGCUGAGAACACUGCCACACCCGCUGCCCUGGCCUCCAAAUUCAACUUCUCCCAUACCUCACGCCCCAACAGACGAGGGGGUGGUACAGGUCAACUGGGGAAGUUCAUAGAUGAAUUUGACACGCUACUGUCCACCAUCCCAGAUGAUGGAACUCCUCUUCUGGUCCUUGGUGAUUUCAACAUUCAUGUAGACAAGCCACAUGCAGCUGACUUUCUUGCUCUCCUUCCCACAUUCGACCUCAAUCAGUUCACCACACCAGCAACCCACAAAGCCGGUAAACAGCUUGACCUCAUCCUCAC
ensembl:lncRNA